ACGGAGGGUGCAAGCGUUGUCCGGAUUUAUUGGGUUUAAAGGGUGCGUAGGCGGCCCUGUAAGUCAGCGGUGAAAUCCCAGGGCUCAACCCUGGAACUGCCGUUGAUACUGCAGGGCUUGAGUUCGGUUAAGGCGGGCGGAACUGGUGGUGUAGCGGUGAAAUGCAUUGAUACCACCAAGAACCCCGAUUGCGUAGGCAGCUCGCUGGGCCGAAACUGACGCUGAGGCACGAAAGCGUGGGGAGCGAACAGGA
rnacentral:rRNA from 1 species